AGAGUUUGAUCCUGGCUCAGGACGAACGCUGGCGGCGCGCCUAACACAUGCAAGUCGAACGAGAGAGAGGGAGCUUGCUUCCUUGAUCGAGUGGCGAACGGGUGAGUAACGCGUGAGGAACCUGCCUCAAAGAGGGGGACAACAGUUGGAAACGACUGCUAAUACCGCAUAAGCCCACGGCUCGGCAUCGAGCAGAGGGAAAAGGAGCAAUCCGCUUUGAGAUGGCCUCGCGUCCGAUUAGCUAGUUGGUGAGGUAACGGCCCACCAAGGCGACGAUCGGUAGCCGGACUGAGAGGUUGAACGGCCACAUUGGGACUGAGACACGGCCCAGACUCCUACGGGAGGCAGCAGUGGGGAAUAUUGCACAAUGGGGGAAACCCUGAUGCAGCGACGCCGCGUGGAGGAAGAAGGUCUUCGGAUUGUAAACUCCUGUUGUUGAGGAAGAUAAUGACGGUACUCAACAAGGAAGUGACGGCUAACUACGUGCCAGCAGCCGCGGUAAAACGUAGGUCACAAGCGUUGUCCGGAAUUACUGGGUGUAAAGGGAGCGCAGGCGGGAGAACAAGUUGGAAGUGAAAUCCAUGGGCUCAACCCAUGAACUGCUUUCAAAACUGUUUUUCUUGAGUAGUGCAGAGGUAGGCGGAAUUCCCGGUGUAGCGGUGGAAUGCGUAGAUAUCGGGAGGAACACCAGUGGCGAAGGCGGCCUACUGGGCACCAACUGACGCUGAGGCUCGAAAGUGUGGGUAGCAAACAGGAUUAGAUACCCUGGUAGUCCACACCGUAAACGAUGAUUACUAGGUGUUGGAGGAUUGACCCCUUCAGUGCCGCAGUUAACACAAUAAGUAAUCCACCUGGGGAGUACGACCGCAAGGUUGAAACUCAAAGGAAUUGACGGGGGCCCGCACAA
rnacentral:rRNA from 1 species